rnacentral:rRNA from 1 species
UGAUAAAUGAGUAGGGCGGGACACGUGAAAUCCUGUCUGAAUAUGGGGGGACCAUCCUCCAAGGCUAAAUACUCCUGAAAGACCGAUAGUGAACAAGUACUGUGAAGGAAAGGUGAAAAGCACUUCGAAUAGAAGGGUGAAAUAGAACCUGAAACCGUACGCCUACAAGCGGUCGGAGCCCACAAGUUGGGUGACGGCGUGCCUUUUGCAUAAUGAGCCUACGAGUUAAUGUUACUAGCGAGGUUAAGGUAUUAAGUACCGGAGCCGGAGCGAAAGCGAGUCUGAAUAGGGCGCUUAGUUAGUAGUAUUAGACGCGAAACCUUGUGAUCUACCCAUGGGCAGGUUGAAGCUCUGGUAACACAGAGUGGAGGACCGAACCGGUUGACGUUGAAAAGUCUUCGGAUGACCUGUGGGUAGGGGUGAAAGGCCAAUCAAACUGGGAGAUAGCUCGUACUCUCCGAAAUGCAUUUAGGUGCAGCGUCGCAAAUGAGUUUAUUAGAGGUAGAGCUACUGAUUGGAUGCGGGGGUUUCAUCGCCUACCAAUUCCUGACAAACUCCGAAUGCUAAUAAAUGUUCUGCGGCAGUGAGGGCAUGGGUGCUAAGGUCCAUGUCCGAGAGGGAAAGAACCCAGACCAACAGCUAAGGUCCCCAAAUAUAUGUUAAGUUGAAGCAACGCGGUUGGACUGCAUUGACAGCUAGGAUGUUGGCUUGGAAGCAGCCAUUCAUUUAAAGAGUGCGUAACAGCUCACUAGUCGAGCGGUCCGGCAUGGAUAAUAAUCGGGCAUAAACAUAUUACCGAAGCUAUGGAUUUAUACCUUAGGGGUAUAUCUGGUAGGAGAGCAUUCUAUUUGCGCCGAAGCAGUACCGCGAGGUAUUGUGGAGCGGAUAGAAAAGAAAAUGUAGGCAUAAGUAACGAUAAAGGGGGCGAGAAACCCCCUCACCGAAAGACUAAGGUUUCCUCAGCCAUGCUAAUCAGCUGAGGGUUAGUCGGGACCUAACGCGAACCCGAAAGGGGUAGUGGAUGGACAAUGGGUUAAUAUUCCCAUACUUGCUCACACUAAAAAGGGGACGGAGUGCCGUACUUACUGGAGACUGACGGAAUAGUCAAGACCUAGCCUUCGGGCGAAGUUGCUGUAAGGAAAGUGCUUCCAAGAAAAGCCGAAGUGAAGCAACCCGUACCAAAACCGACACAGGUAGUCGAGGAGAGAAUCCUAAGGUGCUCGAGUGAGUCGUGGCUAAGGAACUAGGCAAAAUAGUCUCGUAACUUCGGAAGAAGAGACGCCAUCAGCAAUGGUGGCCGCAGUGAAGAGGCCCAGGCGACUGUUUAUCAAAAACACAGGACUCUGCUAAAUCGAAAGAUGCUGUAUAGGGUCUGACACCUGCCCGGUGCUGGAAGGUUAAGGAAGGUGCUUAGAGUUAAAUCGAAGGCAUUAACUGAAGCCCCAGUAAACGGCGGCCGUAACUAUAACGGUCCUAAGGUAGCGAAAUUCCUUGUCGGGUAAGUUCCGACCUGCACGAAUGGUGUAACGAUCUGGGCACUGUCUCAGCCACGAGCUCGGUGAAAUUGUAGUAUCGGUGAAGAUGCCGAUUACCCGCAAUGGGACGAAAAGACCCUGUGAACCUUUACUAUAACUUCGUAUUGACUUUGAGUAAGUAAUGUGUAGGAUAGGUGGGAGGCUUUGAAGCCGGCACGCUAGUGUUGGUGGAGCCAACGUUGAAAUACCACCCUUUACUUACUUGGAGCCUAACUUCUUU